rnacentral:rRNA from 1 species
UACGGAGGGUGCAAGCGUUAUCCGGAUUCACUGGGCUUAAAGGGUGCGUAGGCGGGUUCGUAAGUCAGUGGUGAAAUCUCCGAGCUUAACUUGGAAACUGCCAUUGAUACUAUGAGUCUUGAAUAUUGUGGAGGUCAGCGGAAUAUGUCAUGUAGCGGUGAAAUGCUUAGAUAUGACAUAGAACACCGAUGGCGAAGACAGCUGGCCGCGCAUAUAUUGACACUGAGGCACGAAAGCGUGGGGAUCAAACAGG